UGCCGGACGACAGAACAUUUUUAUCUGAGAAAAAUAUCCAUGAUGUCCAAAGCUGCAUCCAGGCCUGUGAAAAAAUGGCACGAUGCGUUGCGGUCCAGUUAGGGAACGGGCAAUGUACCCUUUACUCCGGACCUGGGCAAUAUUUUUCGCGUAAUGAUUUUGGGCCAUAUUACCAAAGAUGUGACGUUCCUCAAAACACCAUAAUUGGAAGGGGAGUAAAGGAUCAAGUACCACUCACCGGCAAUUGACAAUGCUGAGACCUGAGCCUAAAAACACAGAUGACCUAAAGCGGACGUGACUAUUUGAAGUCCCACUCUCUAAUUAUUUUUUUCUGUUAUCCUUCGAUUUUUA